UAGUGUCUACCUGAAGGAUGUGAACAGCUGUUCACAGCACCAUUGAGAGAAUUCUAAUUUAGGCUAGAAAGGGGUGAGAAAAGUGAGGUUCCCUUUCCUGAUGGGACCGUGACUGGUAGCCCUUACCUCUAACCAGGGGUCCUGAAGGCUCGCUCUAGCUCUCUACCCCUUGGCUGAAUACUGAAGCAGAAACUAGCAGUUUCAGAUGGGAUUUUUGAGUGGCUUUUCUCUAUUACCGGUGACUUAUAGGUUUACAACCCUGGACUUCAGGUUUGCGUAUGGUAUAGCAACAGUAAAGUAUCCUAAAAAGAGUUGUACACUACAGAUGUCUUUUGACUCUGACAAUGUUCUCAUGAGUAGAAAACUUAAGAACAAAAUGUGCACAUAAGUUCCCUGGAAGACUUCAGCUCUUUAGCACAGGGACGCUCUUGUGUAUUCACUCUGCCCUUUUUACAUCUAAAGGGUAGUGUGUAAAGUACAUGUAAAGUGCAAUGAGUAGGUACAGCCACUAGGGGUCACAAUCUCAUCUUUGUUAGCCCAGGACCUUAGGCCUUCAGAAGAUCACAAGUGCUCUCUGUCCCACAACCAGGAAACAGAACUGAGCCUUUCGGGUGCUGUGACUUGCUCAAGGCUACAAAAAUACAUGAGGCUCAAACUGCUUCUCUGAGUGCCUUCCCCACUCAAGCCCUUUGGUUACCAUGUGAACGCACAUCAGCUUCAGCCGGCGUGUGCCAGGGCUGGGGCUCCGAGGAGGGCCUGGCUUUUAGUGGUGAGGUUCCACUGUGCCUUAGGAUACUGUUCGUGUCAGAUGUGUAGACAAAGUAAAGCGGCAACAUAGUGCAGUGCACUCGUUCUUCUGUUCUGGACCACGUCAGUCAGCUUGGUGGGGAAUAGAGGGUGCUAACCCGUGACUUUAGAGUUAGUGAUUCCCUGAUGCCAUAAUCCUCUGGAGGAAACCCGAAGGUCUUCAGGUUUCAUCACUAGGUGCCCAGUGCUCUUAGUUCGGGGUCAAAGGGUAAAAGAUUUGUAAGCUACAACUGCUGUAGGUAUGACCCAGUG
rnacentral:lncRNA from 1 species